GUGCUAGUUUGUCAAGUGUUCCCAUCAGUGGGUCCAUCCCUUGCAUGACUCACAACCCGUCAAUUCAUACUCUAGUAUAUGAGCUGUGACAGCCGACCCUGUCUGACUCCCAGAAGGCGAAAAUUUUUAACCUAAAAUCAGACACUAAACCAACCCUUCCGGCAGAAAAAACUGAAAGCCUUUCGACUUUCGGGUUCUGCAUCGAUCUAAUUAUUUUUGAAAUCGUAAAAGGCCCUGCAUAGUGAAUUUAUAGGGACUUUGGUUACUCUCUCCUUAAAAAGUCGAUUUCAAGGUUGCGUUCAAUGUCAUUUUCCAGCAGAAGUAAACCAGUCCUGUACUCAUCUCUGGUAGUGCUGUUAAUCAUUUGGGUCCCAAGAGAAUGCAAAGUGUCAGCAUUAAGAAUAUUUCCAGCCGUAGAAGAAGACACAGAAUCAAUUCUGGAAUCCAACAAGAAUCAAACAGACAUAUUUCACAAAUACUUCAAUGACACCGUAGUUUUUGAUCUCAACAACGCUUCAAAUGGUACGUUUCUUGAUUACAAAAGGAGAAUACCCAGCAGCCCAGAUCCUCUCCACAAUAAAUAGUAUCAGUUAAUAAUUAAUUAUUACUAGUCUUUUAUUGGAAUUAUUUUCUAAUUUUUUCUUAUUUAUUUAUUUAUUUUUGCUGGAUUUUAUCUAAAAUACCCACGUUUUACUGAUAGUUAUAGUGGUAAUUUUGUGGUUAAACCGUGUGUAUUUUGGUACUUGAAGUUGAAAGAUGCAGUUUUUGCUUCAGAGAGUAAGCAGAUAAUGGGUAAUUUGUAUAAAAGACUAGUUACCGUUUUCAAUUUUUUACUGCAUAUCUACAUUUAUUUGGUCUUUAUCUAUCUAUUGAUAUUUCAGUUCAGAUUUUUACUCCCAUUUAUUCACGACUGCAGGAUGUUCUUGUUAAUUAUAUAGUUAACUU
rnacentral:lncRNA from 1 species